rnacentral:lncRNA from 1 species
GAUUUGACACCAGAAAAUUAUUUCUUACUAUUAUAUCGCGGGAAAAUUCUCUGCGUGGGCACAUUCAGAGAGAGUCUCUACAAGAAGUUGUGGAAGAACUGAAAAACAGCAAAACAAUUCGAGAGUUUUAAGGGAUUCGGAGUGGACAGCCUCUUCUGCAGCAAAAUAGACCCUUUAACCUGCGUCGAUGCUCCAGAGCGGGCGCUGUACUUCAACCGGAAGAAGAUCGCCGAGUGGUUGUGCUGCUGUGGAUGCUUUCCUGAAACUGGUGGUGUAGUUCAUGCAUUUUUAGAAGUCCACAACUCGACCCAUUAACCUGCGUCGAUGCUCCAGAGCGGGCCCUGUACUUAAACCGGAAGAAGAUCGCCGAGUGGUUGUGCUGCUGUGGAUGCUUUCCUGAAACUGGUGGUGUAGUUCAUGCAUAUUUAGAAGUCCGCAACUCGACCCAUUAACCUGUGUCGAUGCUUCAGAGCGGGCCCUGUACUUUAACCGGAAGAUCACCGAGUGAUUGUGCUGCUGUGGAUGCUUUCCUGAAACUGGUGGUGUAGUUUAUGCAUUUUUAGAAGUCAGUAACUCGGAUGCUUCUUAUAACAAUCGUUAAAUGAUGAGACACUACAGCCUGCUUUCAUACACAUGACCUGUAGAUGGACUUACCCCCUAAACCCCAUGGCACUUCUUCCCUAUAUUACAAGGCAACUCUUAAAGUUAAC